rnacentral:rRNA from 1 species
AUUGAACGCUGGCGGCAUGCUUUACACAUGCAAGUCGAACGGUAACAGGCCGCAAGGUGCUGACGAGUGGCGAACGGGUGAGUAAUGUAUCGGAACGUGCCCAGUCGUGGGGGAUAACGCAGCGAAAGCUGUGCUAAUACCGCAUACGAUCUAUGGAUGAAAGCGGGGGACCGUAAGGCCUCGCGCGAUUGGAGCGGCCGAUAUCAGAUUAGGUAGUUGGUGGGGUAAGGGCUCACCAAGCCAACGAUCUGUAGCUGGUCUGAGAGGACGACCAGCCACACUGGGACUGAGACACGGCCCAGACUCCUACGGGAGGCAGCAGUGGGGAAUUUUGGACAAUGGGCGCAAGCCUGAUCCAGCAAUGCCGCGUGCAGGACGAAGGCCUUC